rnacentral:rRNA from 1 species
AUUGAACGCUGGCGGCAGGCCUAACACAUGCAAGUCGAGCGGUAGAGAGAAGCUUGCUUCUCUUGAGAGCGGCGGACGGGUGAGUAAUGCCUAGGAAUCUGCCUGGUAGUGGGGGAUAACGUUCGGAAACGGACGCUAAUACCGCAUACGUCCUACGGGAGAAAGCAGGGGACCUUCGGGCCUUGCGCUAUCAGAUGAGCCUAGGUCGGAUUAGCUAGUUGGUGGGGUAAUGGCUCACCAAGGCGACGAUCCGUAACUGGUCUGAGAGGAUGAUCAGUCACACUGGAACUGAGACACGGUCCAGACUCCUACGGGAGGCAGCAGUGGGGAAUAUUGGACAAUGGGCGAAAGCCUGAUCCAGCCAUGCCGCGUGUGAAGAAGGUCUUCGGAUUGUAAAGCACUUUAAGUUGGGAGGAAGGGCAGUAAAUUAAUACUUUGCUGUUUUGACGUUACCGACAGAAUAAGCACCGGCUAACUCUGUG